UCACCUACGGGGGGCAGCAGUGGGGAAUAUUGCGCAAUGGGGGAAACCCUGACGCAGCAACGCCGCGUGAGUGAAGAAGGCCUUCGGAUUGUAAACUAUUGUCGUGAGGGAAGAAGAUGACAGUACCUCAGGAGGAAGCUCCGGCUAACUAUGUGCCAGCAGCCGCGGUAAUACAUAGGGAGCAAGCGUUAUCCGGAAUUAUUGGGUGUAAAGGGUGCGUAGACGGGAAAUUAAGUUAGUUGUGAAAUCCCUUGGCUUAACUGAGGAACUGCAACUAAAACUGAUUUUCUUGAGUACUGGAGAGG
rnacentral:rRNA from 1 species